AUUUGUACAUUUUCUGUUUCUCUCCUGAUGGCAGUGGUGCCUUUGUCACCUUUUAGAAGGUUGGCAUUUUGUUUUUGUUUUUAAAUACAAGUAACAGCUUGCUUUUGACUUCACAAAAAUCUCCCCGGACGUAGAAGAAAAUGGUGCGUUGUCAUCCUGGCUCAGUUGGAGUAUUUGCAUUUUUAUUUCUGUCAAAAUAAGUAUAGUUGGUGGGGAUGGGCCAGUAAUAAUGUGUGGAGUCUUUAAACCAAGAGUAAUUUUGAAAUUAAAAAUUGAAGAGGUGACCCAUUAGCAAGUGACUGAGUUGGAGAAUUAGAGGAGGACCGUUCUGGCUUGUCUCUUUAGAAGGCACGUUGGAGUACAGGUGGCUUGGGCGUGUAGCGUGUGAUCUGCGGCUAUUUCUUACUCAUCAACAGUGUCGGUGCACCUCAUUA
rnacentral:lncRNA from 1 species